GACGAACGCUGGCGGCGUGCUUAACACAUGCAAGUCGAACGGCAAGGCCCUCCUUUUGUUGGCUGCUCGAGUCGCGAACGUGUGUGUAACACGUGAGUAUCCUGCCCUUUACUUUGUGAUAACUUCAGGACCCUGGUGCUAAUACCUGCUAGCAGCUCCUGCUGCAUGGUGGGGGUUGGAACUUUUCGGCGGUUGGGGAUGGACUCCCGGCUUAUCAGCUUGUUGGUGGGGUAGUUGCUUACCAAGGCUUUGAAGGAUAGCCGGCAUGGGAGGGUGAACGGCGACAUGGGGACUGAGAGACGGCGCAGAGGGCAACGGGAGGCAGCAGGGGGGAAUAUUGCACAAUGGGCGGAAGCGUGAUGAAGAGACGCCGCGGGCGGGAUGACGGCCUUCGGGUUAUAAACCGCUUUGGCCUGAGACGAAGCGUGAGUGACGGUAAUGGGUAAAGAAGCACCGGCUAACUACGUG
rnacentral:rRNA from 1 species